rnacentral:rRNA from 1 species
UGGGGAAUAUUGGGCAAUGGGCGCAAGCCUGACCCAGCAACGCCGCGUGAGGGAAGAAGGUCUUCGGAUUGUAAACCUCUGUCCUUGGGGACGAAAAAAAUGACGGUACCCAAGGAGGAAGCUCCGGCUAACUACGUGCCAGCAGCCGCGGUAAUACGUAGGGAGCGAGCGUUGUCCGGAAUUACUGGGCGUAAAGGGUGCGUAGGCGGCAUGGCAAGUCAGAUGUGAAAUCCCCGGGCUUAACUCGGGGGGUGCAUUUGAAACUGCUGUGCUCGAGUGCAGGAGAGGAAAGCGGAAUUCCUAGUGUAGCGGUGAAAUGCGUAGAUAUUAGGAGGAACACCAGUGGCGAAGGCGGCUUUCUGGACUGUAACUGACGCUGAGGCACGAAAGCGUGGGGAGCAA